rnacentral:tmRNA from 1 species
CUUCCGCUCUUAAGACGGGGAUCAAAGAGAGGUCAAACCCAAAAGAGAUCGCGUGGAAGCCCUGCCUGGGGUUGAAGCGUUAAAACUAAUCAGGCUAGUUCGUUAGUGGCGUGUCUGUCCGCAGCUGGCGUGCGAAUGUAAAGACAAACUAAGCAUGUAGUACCGAGGAUGUAGAAAUUUCGGACGCGGGUUCAACUCCCGCCAGCUCCACCA